rnacentral:sRNA from 1 species
UUCCGUAGGUGAACCUGCGGAAGGAUCAUUAGUGAAUUUUAGGGUGCUCUCUUUUAACAAGAGAGGCCUGACCUCCACUCUCCAACACUGUGCACUAUUUGGCAAAUCAAAUGAAGUACCUCGGAAGGGGGCGGAUUAUGAUUUGCGGCUUCAUCUUUAACACUAGUAAAAGAAUGUAACAAAAACCAUAACAAAAAAAAACUUUCAACAACGGAUCUCUUGGCUCUCGCAUCGAUGAAGAACGCAGCGAAAUGUGAUAAGUAAUGUGAAUUGCAGAAUUCAGUGAAUCAUCGAAUCUUUGAACGCACCUUGCGCUCUCUGGUAUUCCGGAGAGCAUGCCUGUUUGAGUGUCAUGAACUCUUCAACCCACCGGUUCCUUGUUGGACCGAGUUGGUGUUUGGAUUUUGAGUGCUGCUUUUGAUUAAGCUCUCUCGUAAUACAUUAGCAUCUCAAUUUCGUAAUCGGAUUGACUCAGCGUAAUAGACUAUUCGCUGAGGACACUUUUUACUAAGUGGCCGAGAAUGAAAAAGUUAGAAGCUUCCAACCCUUCUAGUCAUUUUUAGAUUAGACCUCAGAUCAGGCAGGAUUACCCGCUGAACUUAAGCAUAUCAA